GUGUGUGUGUGUGUUCUCUUUUUCUUCCUGAUUGGCUUUGUGUGUAUGUGUAUGUAUGUCUUUCUUUAUUCCUUGGGCACCUGCAGUGUUGAUUUCCAAAUGCACAUUUUCCUGCCAGCUACUGGCUCCUGGGGGUGGGAGGAGGUGGGUAGAGGGAGACUGUCCAGGGGCCUGGGGGAAACUAUCUUUACCUGCAGAGAUCAUAUUUGGUGCUAGCAUCAGUCAUUGGCCUCCACAGAUGUAACCCCCCUUUCCUCCCCCCAACCUCCCUGUCCCCACCCCCAACACACCACACACACAGAAGGCUUUGAGAUUCUGCAGAGUUGGUCCUGCUUUCUUAAGCACAAAACCCAGAUAGGAGUUGGUUUCUAGUAUUUCAUGCACCUGGUGUGAUGGUUUGACGUUCCUGAAGGAAACUUUUCCCUUUCCUUCUGGUUUUUUCGCUGUUAUUAUGGUAUUGUUUGAGAUGAUCGGGUGUAAGCUUUGUUAAUGACAGCUUAAAUCUCACAUGCAGUAACCGUACAGGUUUAGAUUGCUGGUUCUGCGUGUGUGCUCGGGUGUCAGGUUUAAAUAUUUUCAAAAAGGAAGCUAUCCUGUCAGGGUUGUUCUUUUCUGUUUGAACUGCUUUUUGGUUGGGCCGCUGGUGGUGAUGGUGGUGGAUGGGGGCCAGUGGUUGGGGAGGAAGGGAGAUUGGUGGUGAUGGUAUUGGUGGCCGUAGAUUUCGAUGUUAGUGAUUGAAUCAGUUACCCUUUGGUUCUAGAACUGGUGAUUUAUUGGCUAAAAUGGAUCUUACACGAUUAUUUUGAGUGUUGAGGCUCACCACUUAUUAGGAUAAUUCUAACUGUGGCUUUAACUUUGCCAAGGUGGGAGGGUACUGUACAGCGUGACUUCUUUCUCUCUUUCUGUCUUUCUCUUGUGCUUUGAAAUAGAUAUUGAAAUGGCAGCAUGUAUCCUAAUAGAAAAUGCUGCCUAGAAUUUGGUUCACCAUUGCUUUCUGUGAUUGGGUUAGGACAUUAUUUGUAAGAGCUGGUUACAAGUGGUUCUGCUUUCUGCGUGGUCCUCCUGGGUUGCUGUGUGGCCCCUUACAGUGAGUAAGCAAGAGGGGCCUGCAUUUUCCCAUGAACAUUUUUGAAGGCCAAGUAGAGGGAGGUAUAACUUAUGCAGUAGUUUUUAAUUUUAAUAAGUAGAUAUUUGAUUGGGCUUGCAAAAUUUAGUCCAUUUGGCUUUUGAGAGAAAAUGUACCCAUUCUAGUGUCUUUUGGGUUUAAAAAACGUAAGUUUUAGGAAAGGUCGAGUUCAAAGUGUAGCAUCAAUACCGUUCCUUUCCUUACCGUGAUUGUUUUUUCUGCUACUUUUCUAGAUCAAAACCCAGGUUACUUUGGUUAGCUGAAUGCUGUGCUGCCGUCAUAUCUAAAUAUCAUUUACAUAUCUAAAUAUCAUUUACAUAUCUGUAGGUAGAUCUAAAAGGCCUAACUUUUUAAAAAGCUUCUAUAAAACUUUUCCAAAUAGUUACACUUCCUCACCCAUUGUGGGUAUGGAGAAUGGGGAUUGGGUGGUUUCAGGCUGUUGGGAACCACAGGUUCUUCUUGCCUUGUGCGGUGGUUUUGAAACCCCCAGUUGUACAUGUGCAUACCCCAGGGUAGCUUCUUAAACAUACAGGUUCCCGGGUCCUGUUCCUCAUCUACUGAAAUUUCUGCUGUGUGGCCCUGGCACAUGUUUUUGACAACCCCCACCCCCCAGGAGUUCUUUUACAGCAAGUCCCCUGCACAGAAGUUUUGGAAUUGCUAUUUUAGAGAAUAUUUUUCGGUGUUUUCUUGGGGCAGCAGUAAUGGUAGCGCUUUAAAAUAAUUCCUAUGCAGCCAAACCUUUUCUGAAAAUAAAACACUCAUGCCUAUUUGGCUUUUAAAUUUUACAUAUUGUGAAGUAGAACAUAUCCUAAAAUAAGUAUCGUGUGCAGCUCAGUGAAUUAUCACAAAGUAAACACCCAAGUAAUCAGGACCAGGCAGUAGAACAUUGCCAAAAAUCUUUGAUUUUUAUUCUUCAAAUUUAUGCUUCCACCCCUUCCUUCUCUUCAAAUCCCCAAAAUUAGGCAAAUAAGGAAAAGUUGAUAAAACAUUGUAAUAAGGUACAAAUGAAAAACAUUCUGCCUUUCUGUACUGGCUUCUUCUUAAUUUUUCUCAUUUCUGUAAGUUUUGGUGAUGUUAAGUUUGUAUUAUCUUUGUUUUGAUUCAGCCUUUAUAUCAGUUCCUGACAGUGACUGUCUAUUAACGCUUAGAGCAUAUAUCAAGAUUAGGCUCUAAGGUCUAUCUUUUCUGAAAUCUAAUUCACUGAAAAUAUUCUCAUGAUAGUUUUGAAAAAUGUAAAAUGACAGAUUUCCAGCCCUGGCAGUUAUGACUCUGGUAAACAAAUGAGUCUUGUCAUGACUGCGUCGGUCGCCUGGUAAACAUGCCUCGCUGGCCAAAUGCCUUUUAUCUUGGUACUUGAGGAAAGGUGGCCUCUUAGUUAACAACAAAAAAGAAGUCCGUCCUUUCUCUCCACCCCAGAAUAAUCUCUCUCGAUCCGUUCCAUUUGGAGCACUUAAAACCAAAGGUGAUGAAGUGCACUGAGGUUGUUUUUCCCUUUUGACACUUUAAGAAUCAUUAGAUUCUUGGUGGGACAAGUUCUGUUUAACAGAAAGCUUGCUUGUUUUCUUUGAAAGGGGAUACUUACUUACCCUAUAGGGACCGGCAGCAGGCCCUGUGCGGGAGCUGUGCUGGGGUGAAGGGAGAGAGCUGCAGUCUUGGGCCGCAGGCCGUAGUGACUAAUAAUUAUGUGCCAGCAGCUGCACAUCUGUCCUUCCCCAGCAGGCACGUGGGUUCUGUGGAUGUAAGAGCU